CGCGGCCUAUCAGCUUGUUGGUGAGGUAAUGGCUCACCAAGGCUUCGACGGGUAGCCGGCCUGAGAGGGCGACCGGCCACACUGGGACUGAGAUACGGCCCAGACUCCUACGGGAGGCAGCAGCGGGGAAUAUUGCACAAUGGGCGCAAGCCUGAUGCAGCAACGCCGCGUGCGGGAUGACGGCCUUCGGGUUGUAAACCGCUUUCAGUAGGGACGAAGCUAACGUGACGGUACCCACAGAAGAAGGACCGGCUAACUACGUGCCAGCAGCCGCGGUGAUACGUAGGGUCCGAGCGUUGUCCGGAAUUAUUGGGCGUAAAGGGCUUGUAGGCGGUCCGUCGCGUCAGGAGUGAAAACUCGGGGCUUAACCCCGAGCCUGCUUUUGAUACGGGCGGACUAGAGGGAUGCAGGGGAGAACGGAAUUCCUGGUGGAGCGGUGGAAUGCGCAGAUAUCAGGAGGAACACCGGUGGCGAAGGCGGUUCUCUGGGCAUCACCUGACGCUGAGAAGCGAAAGCGUGGGGAGCAAACAGGCUUAGAUACCCUGGUAGUCCACGCCGUAAACGGUGGGCACUAGGUGUGGGGGACAUUCCACGUUCUCCGUGCCGAAGCUAACGCAUUAAGUGCCCCGCCUGGGGAGUACGG
rnacentral:rRNA from 1 species